UGAGACAUCUCGGUCCUUGGCUUGGC
rnacentral:piRNA from 1 species